UACGUAGGUGGCAAGCGUUGUCCGGAUUUACUGGGCGUAAAGCGCGCGCAGGCGGAUUGGUCAGUCCGGGGUGAAAUCUCACGGCUCAACUGUGAGCGGUCCCCGGAUACUGCCAGUCUCGAGGUGUCUAGAGGAGAGCGGAAUUCCCGGUGUAGUGGUGGAAUGCGUAGAUAUCGGGAAGAACACCAGUGGCGAAAGCGGCUCUCUGGGGACCACCUGACGCUGAGGCGCGAAGCGUGGGGAGCGAACCGG
rnacentral:rRNA from 1 species